rnacentral:rRNA from 1 species
UACGAAGGGUGCUAGCGUUGUUCAGAAUCACUGGGCGUAAAGCGCGCGUAGGCGGCUUUUCAAGUCAGGGGUGAAAUCCCACGGCUCAACCGUGGAAUUGCCUUUGAAACUGGGAAGCUAGAGUGUCGGAGGGGAUAGCGGAAUUGCUAAUGUAGAGGUGAAAUUCGUAGAUAUUAGCAGGAACACCGGUGGCGAAGGCGGCUAUCUGGACGACAACUGACGCUGAAGUGCGAAAGCGUGGGGAUCAAACAGG